rnacentral:rRNA from 1 species
UACGUAGGGUGCGAGCGUUGUCCGGAAUUAUUGGGCGUAAAGAGCUUGUAGGCGGUUUGUCGCGUCUGCUGUGAAAAUCCGGGGCUCAACCCCGGACUUGCAGUGGGUACGGGCAGACUAGAGUGUGGUAGGGGAGACUGGAAUUCCUGGUGUAGCGGUGAAAUGCGCAGAUAUCAGGAGGAACACCGGUGGCGAAGGCGGUUCUCUGGGCAUGUCCUGACGCUGAGGAGCGAAAGCCAGGGGAGCAAACGGG